rnacentral:rRNA from 1 species
CGGCGGACGGGUGAGUAACGCGUGGGCAACCUGCCUCAUACAGGGGGAUAACAGUUAGAAAUGACUGCUAAUACCGCAUAAGCGCACAGGACCGCAUGGUGUAGUGUGAAAAACUCCGGUGGUAUGAGAUGGACCCGCGUCUGAUUAGGUAGUUGGUGGGGUAAAGGCCUACCAAGCCGACGAUCAGUAGCCGACCUGAGAGGGUGACCGGCCACAUUGGGACUGAGACACGGCCCAA